GGAGAGUUUGAUCCUGGCUCAGGAUGAACGCUGGCGGCGUGCCUAAUACAUGCAAGUCGAACGAAGAGUGUAGCAAUAUGCUCUUAGUGGCGAACGGGUGAGUAACGCGUUGGUGACCUGCCCCAAAGAGGGGGACAACAGCUCGAAAGGGCUGCUAAUACCCCAUGUGGUCGCGAGAGUUAGAGGUCUGGCGACUAAAGGAAUGUCCGUUCUCCGAAUGGCAUCCACUUUGGGAGGGGCCUGCGUCCCAUCAGCUAGUUGGUAGGGUAAUGGCCUACCAAGGCGACGACGGGUAGGGGGCCUGAGAGGGUGACCCCCCACACUGGCACUGAAACACGGGCCAGACACCUACGGGUGGCAGCAGUAGGGAAUAUUGCACAAUGGGCGAAAGCCUGAUGCAGCAACGCCGCGUGCGCGAUGAAGGCCUUCGGGUCGUA
rnacentral:rRNA from 1 species